rfam:Oryza sativa Japonica Group DNA, chromosome 10, cultivar: Nipponbare, complete sequence.
AAAGACUCAAUUCCUAAGUUUUUUAUUCAACGUUUGACCGUUCGUCUUAUAUGAAUUUUUUUUAUGAUUAGUAUUUUCAUUAUUGUUAGAUGAUAAAACAUGAAUAAUACUUUAUGUAUGACUUAUCUUUUUAAAUUUUUCAUAACUUUUUCAAAUAAGACGAACGGUCAAACAAUAAACACGGAAACCCUAAG